UGGGGAAUUUUGGACAAUGGGCGCAAGCCUGAUCCAGCAAUGCCGCGUGCAGGAUGAAGGCCUUCGGGUUGUAAACUGCUUUUGUACGGAACGAAAAGCCCUGGGUUAAUACCCUGGGGUCAUGACGGUACCGUAAGAAUAAGCACCGGCUAACUACGUGCCAGCAGCCGCGGUAAUACGUAGGGUGCGAGCGUUAAUCGGAAUUACUGGGCGUAAAGCGUGCGCAGGCGGUUUUGUAAGACAGAGGUGAAAUCCCCGGGCUCAACCUGGGAACUGCCUUUGUGACUGCAAGGCUAGAGUACGGCAGAGGGGGAUGGAAUUCCGCGUGUAGCAGUGAAAUGCGUAGAUAUGCGGAGGAACACCGAUGGCGAAGGCAAUCCCCUGGGCCUGUACUGACGCUCAUGCACGAAAGCGUGGGGAGCAAACAGGAUUGGAUACCCUGGUAGUCCACGCCCUAAACGAUGUCAACUGGUUGUUGGGUCUUAACUGACUCAGUAACGAAGCUAACGCGUGAAGUUGACCGCCUGGGGAGUACGCCGCAAGGUUGAAACUUAAAUGAAUUGACGGGGUCAUAGC
rnacentral:rRNA from 1 species